GGGGAUGUAGCUCAGCAGCACAGUGCCUGCCUGGCAACCACAAGGUCCUAAAUUCAAUCCUUAGCAACCCCC
rnacentral:tRNA from 1 species